UGCUGUCAUCCCGCGUCAGACCGCGAUUCCUUGGGGGGGAGGAGCCAACUCCUUAAAGGAACAGUGGAGCGGAGCCAGUUCCGCCCCCCUGUGUUGGAGAGUAGUGGAUUGUUGAAACUCUCAUAGAGGAAACCUGGAAGAGGACUGGAGGGCAGAAGAGGGAACCCCUGAAUGGAUUGGGGUUUAAAAUAAAUGAGAAAAAAUACUUCCUAAUUCCAGCGAAGGGGUUCAGGGAUAGAUUGGAGCGUUUCUCCCACCACUUCCUGAGGGAAGGAUCAACACUUUCCCACAAGUCUGGCUGCGAGGUCACAUCGUUCAUCAUCCUCUACACUGGAGGUGGAGGGGUGUCUUUGGCAGACACACAUCUGGAGGAGGAGGAGCUAUUCCGGAGGCUGAGGCAGGAGGAUUACCCCGAGUUCAAGUCCAACCUGACCCACAUAGUGAGCACCAAGCCAGCCCAGGACUACAUAGCAAAACCCAGUCAAAAAGAAAAUUAUUCAAACGUGGUUAAGAGUUCUGGCUGCUCUUCCAGAGGACCUGGGUUCAAUUUCCAGCACCCACAUGGCAGCUCACAGUGGUCUUUAACUCCAGUUCCAGGUGAUCUGACAUCUUCAAAGACAUACAUACUCAGCGGCCGCCACACAGGUAGGAGCGGAUUGAGACAUCUGAGAAUGGGAG
rnacentral:lncRNA from 1 species